AUUCAGUGGCAAGGUUAACCAUCUAGGGGAGCCGUAGGGAAACCGAGUCUUAACUGGGCGUUCAGUCUCUGGAUAUAGACCCGAAACCAGGUGAUCUAGCCAUGGGCAGGUUGAAGGUUGAGUAACAUCAACUGGAGGACCGAACCGACUAAUGUUGAAAAAUUAGCGGAUGACUUGUGGCUAGGGGUGAAAGGCCAAUCAAACCUGGAGAUAGCUGGUUCUCCCCGAAAGCUAUUUAGGUAGCGCCUCGGACGAAUACUACUGGGGGUAGAGCACUGUUAAGGCUAGGGGGUCAUCCCGACUUACCAACCCUUUGCAAACUCCGAAUACCAGUAAGUACUAUCCGGGAGACACACGGCGGGUGCUAACGUCCGUCGUGGAGAGGGAAACAACCCAGACCGCCAGCUAAGGUCCCAAAUUACUACUAAGUGGGAAACGAUGUGGGAAGGCUCAGACAGCCAGGAUGUUGGCUUAGAAGCAGCCAUCAUUUAAAGAAAGCGUAAUAGCUCACUGGUCGAGUCGGCCUGCGCGGAAGAUGUAACGGGGCUAAGUAGUAAACCGAAGCUGCGGCAAUACUCUUUGAGUAUUGGGUAGGGGAGCGUUCUGUAAGCGGUUGAAGGUGUGUGGUAACGCAUGCUGGACGUAUCAGAAGUGCGAAUGCUGACAUGAGUAACGAUAAAGGGGGUGAAAAACCUCCUCGCCGGAAGACCAAGGGUUCCUGUCCAACGUUAAUCGGGGCAGGGUAAGUCGACCCCUAAGGCGAGGCCGAAAGGCGUAGUCGAUGGGAAACGGGUUAAUAUUCCCGUACUUCUUACAAUUGCGAUGGGGGGACGGAGAAGGCUAGGUGGGCCUGGCGACGGUUGUCCAGGUUCAAGUGCGUAGGCUUAAGAGUUAGGUAAAUCCGGCUCUUUUUAAGGCUGAGACACGACGUCGAGCACCUACGGGUGUGAAGUCAUUGAUGCCAUGCUUCCAGGAAAAGCCUCUAAGCUUCAGAUUGUAAGGAAUCGUACCCCAAACCGACACAGGUGGUCGGGUAGAGAAUACCAAGGCGCUUGAG
rnacentral:rRNA from 1 species